ensembl:processed_transcript 4933401H06Rik RIKEN cDNA 4933401H06 gene
GUGAGACCAGGACAAUGGAUUACAUUAAAGAAGGAAAAUGUGAAGACUGAAAAUGCUUCUCUGAUGAGAAAGCAGCCACCUAGAUCCCACGAGCUCAUGUUACCGUAAUAUUUACUAAUAGGACUCUGACAAUGCCUGGCGCAUAACAGUUCCUGGUAGACAGGGUCACUGACAGGUGUCACAAAGUCUGGUGGCUUACAGGCAUGACACAACAGGAACAUUCGAAGCAGGAGUGGAAGAGAAAACGGCAGAUCUGUCCGCUGUGAUGACGGGAUUACCUAACUCGGUGACCAGACACCUUGGUGUCCCUCCCUUUACGCCUCUCCAGCUCGCUGUCUACCAGCCUCUCCCAAGUCUACCAUUGUUUUUACAUGGAGGAUGAACUGGAAGUGCCAAGAAAAAUAACAGAGAAUCUUUGGAAGGAGACAGAAACCGAAUUAAACAAGGCUCCAUUCUGAAGAUGUUCUCAGCUCUCGGAUCCCACAAUCACAAAGCGUCCAAAGAGAAAAGACAACUGGUCAAGGAUGGACUUCACUCUCCCAGUACUUAUAACAAAGAGCUCAGACUCGCCUCUUACUAGUACUUCGUCGUAUUAGAGCAAGUGACUCUGUAGAUGUGCUCUGUUCACCUGCUUUCCCUCCUUGCUUCAGCUCACUCCCCAUCACCUAUGCACAUCCACUUCCCACAGCAGGAUGCAGUCAAGGACCACAUAAAGGAAGAUUUCUACUUGACUUUGCCAGAAGUGGAGCGGUUCUAAAGUUCAACACAAAUGCUGGGCUGGAAGCCGUCCUGAUAACAUAGGUGUU